rnacentral:rRNA from 1 species
UACGUAGGGGGGCAAGCGUUGUCCGGAUUUAUUGGGCGUAAAGAGCGUGUAGGCGGCCAUACAGGUCCGUUGUGAAAACUGGAGGCUUAACCUCCAGACGUCGAUGGAAACCGUAUGGCUAGAGUCCGGAAGAGGAGAGUGGAAUUCCUGGUGUAGCGGUGAAAUGCGCAGAUAUCAGGAAGAACACCCGUGGCGAAGGCGGUUCUCUGGGACGGUACUGACGCUGAGACGCGAAAAGCGUGGGGGAGCAAACAGG